GAUGAACGCUGGCGGCGUGCCUAAUACAUGCCGGUCGAGCGAACAGACGAGGAGCUUGCUCCUCUGACGUUAGCGGCGGACGGGUGAGUAACACGUGGAUAACCUACCUAUAAGACUGGGAUAACUUCGGGAAACCGGAGCUAAUACCGGAUAAUAUAUUGAACCGCAUGGUUCAAUAGUGAAAGACGGUUUUGCUGUCACUUAUAGAUGGAUCCGCGCCGCAUUAGCUAGUUGGUAAGGUAACGGCUUACCAAGGCAACGAUGCGUAGCCGACCUGAGAGGGUGAUCGGCCACACUGGAACUGAGACACGGUCCAGACUCCUACGGGAGGCAGCAGUAGGGAAUCUUCCGCAAUGGGCGAAAGCCUGACGGAGCAACGCCGCGUGAGUGAUGAAGGUCUUCGGAUCGUAAAACUCUGUUAUUAGGGAAGAACAAAUGUGUAAGUAACUAUGCACGUCUUGACGGUACCUAAUCAGAAAGCCACGGCUAACUACGUG
rnacentral:rRNA from 1 species